rnacentral:sRNA from 1 species
GCCGGGCACAGUGGCACAUGCCUGUAAUCCCAGCGGCUGGAGAGGCUGAGGCAGGAGGAUCGCGAGUUUAAAGCCAGCCUUAGCAGUGGUGAGGUACUAAGCAAUUCAGUGAGACCCUGUCUCUA